rnacentral:rRNA from 1 species
GAUAAGCGCUGGCGGCGCACAUAAGACAUGCAAGUUGAACGGACUUAAUCGAAAUAUUUAUAUUUUGAAGCGGUUAGUGGCGGACUGGUGAGUAACGCGUAAGGAACCUGCCUAUUAGAGGGGAAUAACAGUGAGAAAUCAUUGCUAAUACCGCAUAUGCCAUAGAUAUCACAUGAUAACAGUGGGAAAGGAGCAAUCCGCUAAUAGAUGGCCUUGCGUCUGAUUAGAUAGUUGGUGGGGUAACGGCCUACCAAGUCGACGAUCAGUAGCCGGACUGAGAGGUUGAACGGCCACAUUGGGACUUAGAUACGGCCCAGACUCCUACGGGAGGCAGCAGUCGGGAAUAUUGCGCAAUGGAGGAAACUCUGACGCAGUGACGCCGCGUAUAGGAAGAAGGUUUUCGGAUUGUAAACUAUUGUCGUUAGGGAAGAGAAAGGACAGUACCUAAGGAGGAAGCUCCGGCUAACUACGUG